GCACCCGUAGCUCAGCUGGAUAGAGCGCUGCCUUGCGGAGGCAGAGGCCAGUGGUUCGAAUCCACUCGGGUGUACCA
rnacentral:tRNA from 1 species